GAUGAACGCUAGCGGCAGGCCCUACACAUGCAAGUCGAGGGGGAAGUUACUUUCGGGUAACAGAGACCGGCGUACGGGUGCGUAACGCGUAUACAAUCUGCCUUUCACUGGGGGAUAGCCCGAAGAAAUUUGGAUUAAUACCCCAUAGUAUAGUAAUACGGCAUCGUGAUACUAUUAAAGCUUAGGUGGUGAAAGAUGAGUAUGCGUUCUAUUAGUUAGUUGGAGAGGUAACGGCUCCCCAAGGCGAUGAUAGAUAGGGGUUCUGAGAGGGAUGUCCCCCACACUGGUACUGAGAUACGGACCAGACUCCUACGGGAGGCAGCAGUGAGGAAUAUUGGACAAUGGUCGGAAGACUGAUCCAGCCAUGCCGCGUGCAGGAUGAAGGUCUUAUGGAUUGUAAACUGCUUUUGUAAGGGAAGAAUAAGGGCUACGUGUAGUUUGAUGACGGUACCUUACGAAUAAGCAUCGGCUAACUCCGUGCCAGCAGCCGCGGUAAUACGGAGGAUGCGAGCGUUAUCCGGAAUCAUUGGGUUUAAAGGGUCUGUAGGCGGGCUGGUAAGUCAGAGGUGAAAGCGCUCAGCUCAACUGAGCAACUGCCUUUGAAACUGUUGGUCUUGAAUGGUUGUGAAGUAGUUGGAAUGUGUAGUGUAGCGGUGAAAUGCUUAGAUAUUACACAGAACACCGAUAGCGAAGGCAUAUUACUAACAAUUGAUUGACGCUGAUGGACGAAAGCGUGGGGAGCGAACAGG
rnacentral:rRNA from 1 species